UUCUCUGCCUUUUCUAGGCUUCUACAUUUCCCAUAGUGUCUACGAGGGCAUUUCAUCAUGCUUUCAUUGAUAUCCAUAUGUUGUUCCAAUGCACCCACUUCAGCAAAAGCAAGGAGGAAGAUAACAAAGAUUAUUGAAUUUGUCUGCUAUGUUCUACUCGUAACUAUAGUUGCGUAAAAACAAAGGCGGAGAGCUAAAGCUUGGUGGAUGGUUUACCAAUCAUACUGAUCUCAUGGCUAGGACAUCACUUUCUUAAUUUCUUGUUGGAAUGUGAUAGUUUGAGCCAGAGUUUAUGAUCAGAUAAGACAAUUUUCACUCAUCUUUUGCGACAAGCAGGGAAAGAAGAGGGGACGUGAGUUCUGUAGCAAGACUUCUUGGACGUGGAAUUUGGAGCCUUUGCAGUUCAAUGCAACUUAAAGAAUUUUAUGAGCAUUGGCCUAUCCAUUUUAGAUUAAUUAAGCUUAUAAGAUUGCUGUUAUGAUAUUCUAUCGGCUGCAAUUAUUUACACACUUGAUUCAUGCAAGGAAAGCUGGAGGGUGGAAGAUUGAUUGGGGUUAAGGAGUAGCACAACCAUGAUAAUAAUGAAUAUUCAGGCAAAAGCUUUCUGGUCAAGAAAUUGCGGUGGGAAAGAAGUGCAGAAAUAAAAGAAGAAAUGACGCAAUCUCAAUGGCAAUUAGAUGGGUUCUGAGUGUCGAGCUUCAUUACCCUAACUAUUCUAAGGCUAACUACGAGUCUAUGGAGGAAUGGAGGCUUGAUUUUUUGUUUCAAUACUACUGUUUGGAUGUCAUGGGUGAUGUAU